UAAUACGUAGGUGUCAAGCGUUGUCCGGAUUUAUUGGGCGUAAAGCGCCCGCAGGCGGCCUGGCAAGUUUCAGGUGAAAUCUCCCGGCUUAACCGGGAGGGUGCUUGGAAAACUGCCAGGCUUGAGGCAGAGAGAGGGAUGUGGAAUUCCCGGUGUAGUGGUGAAAUGCGUAGAUAUCGGGAGGAACACCAGUGGCGAAGGCGGCAUCCUGGCUCUGUCCUGACGCUCAGGGGCGAAAGCGUGGGGAGCAAACCGGAUUAGAUACCCGGGUAGUCCACGCCGUAAACGAUGAGUACUAGGUGUAGGGGGUAUCGACCCCCUCUGUGCCGAAGCUAACGCGAUAAGUACUCCGCCUGGGGACUACGGCCGCAAGGCUA
rnacentral:rRNA from 1 species